AUUGAACGCUGGCGGCAGGCUUAACACAUGCAAGUCGAGCGGAGCGAGGGUGCUUGCACCUUAGCUUAGCGGCGGACGGGUGAGUAAUGCUUAGGAAUCUGCCUAUUAGUGGGGGACAACAUUCCGAAAGGAAUGCUAAUACCGCAUACGCCCUACGGGGGAAAGCAGGGGAUCUUCGGACCUUGCGCUAAUAGAUGAGCCUAAGUCGGAUUAGCUAGUUGGUGGGGUAAAGGCCUACCAAGGCGACGAUCUGUAGCGGGUCUGAGAGGAUGAUCCGCCACACUGGGACUGAGACACGGCCCAGACUCCUACGGGAGGCAGCAGUGGGGAAUAUUGGACAAUGGGCGGAAGCCUGAUCCAGCCAUGCCGCGUGUGUGAAGAAGGCUUUUUGGUUGUAAAGCACUUUAAGCGAGGAGGAGGCUACUUAGAUUAAUACUCUGGGAUAGUGGACGUUACUCGCAGAAUAAGCACCGGCUAACUCUGUGCCAGCAGCCGCCGCCGU
rnacentral:rRNA from 1 species